CUACGGGUCGCUGCAGUGGGGAAUAUUGCACAAUGGGGGAAACCCUGAUGCAGCAACGCCGCGUGAAGGAAGAAGUUUUUCGGAACGUAAACUUCUAUCAGCAAGGAAGAUAAUGACGGUACUUGACUAAGAAGCCCCGGCUAACUACGUGCCAGCAGCCGCGGUAAUACGUAGGGGGCAAGCGUUAUCCGGAAUUACUGGGUGUAAAGGGUGCGUAGACGGUCGUGACAGUCAGAUGUGAAAGCCCGGGGCUCAACUCCGGGAUUGCAUUUGAAACUACGCGACUAGAGUACAGGAGAGGAAAGUGGAAUUCCUAGUGUAGUGGUGGAAUGCGUAGAUAUUAGGAGGAACACCAGUGGCGAAGGCGACUUUCUGGACUGUAACUGACGUUGAGGCACGAAAGCGUGGGGAGCAAACAGGAUUAGAUACCCUUGUAGUC
rnacentral:rRNA from 1 species